GACGAACGCUGGCGGCGUGCUUAACACAUGCAAGUCGAACGGAAAGGCCCUGCUUUUGUGGGGUGCUCGAGUGGCGAACGGGUGAGUAACACGUGAGUAACCUGCCCUUGACUUUGGGAUAACUUCAGGAAACUGGGGCUAAUACCGGAUAGGAGCUCCUGCUGCAUGGUGGGGGUUGGAAAGUUUCGGCGGUUGGGGAUGGACUCGCGGCUUAUCAGCUUGUUGGUGGGGUAGUGGCUUACCAAGGCUUUGACGGGUAGCCGGCCUGAGAGGGUGACCGGCCACAUUGGGACUGAGAUACGGCCCAGACUCCUAAGGGAGGCAGCAGUGGGGAAUAUUGCACAAUGGGCGGAAGCCGGAUGCAGCAACGCCGCGUGCGGGAUGACGGCCUUCGGGUUGUAAACCGCUUUCGCCUGUGACGAAGCGUGAGUGACGGUAAUGGGUAAAGAAGCACCGGCUAACUACGUG
rnacentral:rRNA from 1 species